UUCAAGACACAUGUAUCAAUUAUAAGAGGUGUCCAAUUCACUUUACCUUAAUAUCAUCGCCAUGGCUCUUGGAGUUUGCCUACAACUCCUGUGCUUGCUGCCUUCUUUGUUCUCAAACGUGAGUUUUGUACUAUUUUUUCUCUAUUAACAUUCACUUCGCUGGGUCUCUAUUAGUUCUUCUACGUUCACUGAGUUUAUAGCUCUGUUUGAUUUGUGGAUGCAUUAUAUACUCUCUCUAUUUUCAUUUCCCCCUAAAUUGGAACAUUAUAUUGCUACAAUCUAUUUGUUUUCUAUUCUGUUCUUCACACUAAGAUUGUAGGUAUGGCUAUAUGGGGAAAGUAAAUAAUAUAUGUAUCAGCAAGGGCGGAGGCAGCAUAUACUUAGGGGGUUCAUCCCUCGACGGAAAAUAUUUCUAUUUAUACAAUGUUAAAAUUAUUUUUUAGGUAUGUAUAGUAGAUGUCGAAUCCCCUUCCACUAGUUCGUGUGUUUACUUCUCAGAUUUUGAACCCUUUUAUUAAAAAUUCUGUCUCCGCCACUGUAUGUAUGUGUUGAAAGAAAGAUAAAUGACAUUCGUGCAUCUAAUGACUUGAUUACAAAUUACUUAACUAGAAUGGUAUGAACUACACUCUUUUUAAAUCUUAUUGUUUUGAGUUAGUUGAUGACUUGAUGCACACCAUGUGUUUGUUGUUGUGCCUGAAACAACUAUAUAAUAUUUGGUUGUUGUUUUUUUGGCCUUUUGACUGAUGCUAUUUUACAAAAUACUCAUCUAUCAUUCAUGAAUUCGAGAAGUAGAAUAUUUAGUUCUAUUGAAUAGUAUUUAUAAAGUCUAUCAAUGGGGCAUGUAGUUCUGUUAGAAAAAUAUUGCCUCUCUUUGUCAUUUUCCGCACUUCCUUUCUUGAAAAAUAUGAAAUUUAUAGCUACUUUGACUUAUUUUUUUCUAAAAGCUUUUUUGAGAAUAUUUCAAUUGAUGUUGAAUGCUCUUUUCAAUGGGUGCAGGGUGUGAUGAAGUAUCAAGGUCUUAUUUGGAUUUUUUUUUGAAGAAAUUUACUGCGGAAGUUGAAUCAAAUGACAAGGUUGUUUUGAAUAAUUGUAAGGUAAGUAUGAUGUGAAAUGAAGUUUGACUUGCUCUAUUGGUUUAUUGUCUUAUUUAUUGUAGGUUGUGGUCACUGUCUUUAUUGGUUGUGACACAUGUUUUGUUCUUAAGAAUAAAUUGAUAUAGGUACAAAGGCAUGCAUUUUACAGUGGUCUGAUCAAUCAUUAAAGAGUACAAAGAUGGUUAUGCUGAUUUUGAGAAUUUUUUAUCGCCUCAAUUUGUUGGAUUUACAAGUAACCCAAUGUGUCGUCUAUUUUUAAGCUGUUUUGAUAAAAAGAAAGGAUUAUAUCUAAAGAUGCACUUAACUCCUAAUUCUUACAAAGUCUAAUAAAGAACCUUUGGUAUGAUAAUUUAUCUCUUGAUUCAUAUUUUUAGUAUGGUUAUUGCAGUUAGUAAAAAUUGCAAGGCUUCUAAAGGCAAACACAUCUUGUAUUUGUGUCAUAUUUUCACACUUUGUCCCAACUUCUCAGUUCAUCUUUCUCUUUAUCUCUUCCCCUCCCUCUUAUUGUUGUCCCUGUCUCUCCAUACAGAACAAAUAAAUGUAACUAAGAAUUCUAUAACUACUGGUGAUAGAAGAAGUACAAUCUCUUAAGAAUAUAUAUAUUUGAUCAAUUUUAAUUGGUAAGUCCUCUUUGUAUAGGAGUCGUAGUUAGUAUUAACAACCUGCAUUUUUUUAUGUAUAAGGGAAGAAAUAGGUUACUCUUCUCGACAUAUUUGAUUGCCGGAGCAGACGGCAGAUAUAUUGUUGAGUGUUAAAGUAUAUUACCCUUUUGAUUUGAUUUAUGUUGGUAUAAAAAUAUUUCCUAGGUCAUAUAUAUUGUACUUAGCAACCUUGACGCUAUGGAGAUUUCAUUGUUUUUCUCUGCUACUACUACCAAUUUUUCUAUGCAUCUGCACAUGGGAUAGUCAUCUUGCACUCUCCAUUUGAUAUAGUUCAUUUUCUUUAGUACCACAACACCAUCAAAUCUUCUGUCAAGGAAAAGAAUGUCGCUAAGAAAUUAUAUAAGGCAUUUCACACUCGCUUUUCGCAAGGAAGAGAAUACCUGGAGAGGAAGGGAAUCAUCAUAGGUUGUAUUUUAAGUAAAGAUUUGAAUGCCAAUGAAUUGAGCAAUAUAUAAAAAUAUCAACCUACGAGCUAAUGCAACCUAAUAAAAAAAAUACUAUUGAGCAACUAUAGAGUUUUAGGUUAGGUAGUAUACAUUGAACAUCUAUCUUUUCAAUUUUCUCAUCCCGUUAAAUUACAAUCUUUAUCUGUUAUACAUCAAUAAUGAGAUGUUUGAUUGUUAUGUUCGAUAUUCAAACGGUCAUGUGAGAUUCGUUUUUUAUUACUGCAUAAGUUCAACUGUUCCUACUUGAUUUUUCAAAAUUCUCGAGUAUUUGGUGUAAUAUGAGAUUCAUAUGAAAGGUAUUUUCUUCUAUUGUAUGAAAGAAACUCAUAUGAGAAUCUUUUGAGUACUUAAAGUAAUAUGAAAUUCAUCUUAAAGAUGUGCUUUGUGAUAUCAUGUAUUCGUAUCCAAGAUUUGAUGCUUCAUCUGCUUCUUUAGUUUAGUAAGAAUUAUUUCAUGCUAUUGCAUGAAACAUUUGACUGGUCUCCUACUGCUCUACGCUAGCUCGAAAGGUAUGGCUACUCUCUUCUUUCCUGCUGAACAUCAUCAAGAAUUUCCCCCUUCUUCUGCUUCACCCGGAAGAUUCUCAAUACAGGCUUAACAACCAUCCCUGCUUACAUUUUAAGAAAAGUUUAAUAGUGACCGUCAAGCUUCACUAAUAGAUAUGGUUCUCCUAUAAGGAGCAUGCUUGCCCUAUGUUUAUUGGUGUGCUAAGUCAUGUAACUUAAUGUUGAAACUUAGCGUACAAGAUAUAGCUUAAAUCUCAUAAAUUUAAUAGGCAGAGCAUAUUAGUCACUUGAUAUAAUUCAACGUUCCUGAAUCAAUUUUAUAUUUCUCAGUGAUUAUUUUUUAUACAGAUGACUUCAAGCUAACAUGAUUACUGAUUUCUCUCUAGGUUGAUGAUAAUCCUUCUUUGACAAAUGCUUCCAAGAUGUAGCAUCUAUUAUUGCGAGAGUUGGUCUUGGGGCUCACUGCAUUAGCAUAGGAAGUGUCCGACAUGUUUGAGCAAGCUGUUGGCAGAAAAUACACUGCGAGGAUAUUACUAACAUUGAAGAGUUCUCUCGCCAUUUUGGAGCUGUUGAUUUGAGGUAAAAAGAUGGACAGAAAAGGUGCUUAUGGCUGAAAUGAGAUAGGUUACUAUUAAAAAAAAUUACAGCCUACAAAUUUCUAUGUCUAUUAAUUAGUUUAGAAUUGUAUCUAUGUCUCAGGAUACCUGAUAAAGAGAGAACACUAACAGAGGCUUGAGCACUUACCAUCUGAUCUGAUCCUACUAAGCAAAAGUAAUCACUUGGAAUAUUUAGAACUGGCAAGAAGAAGACGCACUUCUUAUUCUCAUAUUUACGCGUGACAUUGUUACUCAACAAGAAAUACUUGAAAAUUGUAGUUAAUAGAUGGUGCUAUCAUAUUAGAAAGUAUUUGUUUUGUAAUCUAUAGCAAGAAAAUCAUCUGAGUUCAGUAAGUAAGGGGGAUUUGCCAAAGUGUCCUCUCUUUUAUGUAAGGCAUCAUUUUUCUUCCUGAUUUUACAGAUGAACUUACAAAAGGGAAGAGAUUUUCAGUUCUUGGUUUCCAUGGAGAACUUUUCCAUCAUAAUUUAAUUUUGACUAUGCCUAUUUAAGCUUCUUCUAGAAUUGCUAUGUUUUAUUUUCAAAUUGGAUUUUAACAUGCAUGAUUCCAAAAAAAAAUAAUGUGCAGGUACUGGUCACGUUUGUUAUGGCAUUUUGGUUGCUGAUCGUAAUGGUUGCAUGGCUACUAUGACCAACUUGAAGAGAAUUACCACAUGAACAUAUGUUGUUGAGAUUUGUGUAAUACACAAAGCAAAUGCUUUUGCUUUCUCACAUAUAUGCAAUAUUAUCAACUUCUUCAUUGCAAUGACAUUGUACCACCCACUCACUAAUGUGAGAAAAUGUCUCUUAUAUAUUAUCCUAUUUUUUGUGAAAAUGAUACUCCUUUCAUGU
rnacentral:lncRNA from 1 species